rnacentral:tRNA from 1 species
GCCGGGAUGGUGGAAUAGGUAGACACGCAAGACUUAAAAUCUUGUGGCCAUCUGGCCGUGCGGGUUCGAUUCCCGCUCCUGGUA